UACAGAGGGGGCGAGCGUUGUUCGGAAUUACUGGGCGUAAAGGGCGCGUAGGCGGCCAACUAAGUCAGACGUGAAAUCCCUCGGCUCAACCGGGGAGGGUCAUUCGAUACUGAUCGACUCGAAGGCAGGAGAGGGUAGUGGAAUUCCCGGUGUAGUGGUGAAAUGCGUAGAUAUCGGGAGGAACACCAGUGGCGAAGGCGACUACCUGGCCUGUUCUUGACGCUGAGGCGCGAAAGCGUGGGGAGCAACAGG
rnacentral:rRNA from 1 species